UAGGGAAUCUUCGGCAAUGGACGAAAGUCUGACCGAGCAACGCCGCGUGAGUGAAGAAGGUUUUCGGAUCGUAAAACUCUGUUGUUAGAGAAGAACAAGGACGUUAGUAACUGAACGUCCCCUGACGGUAUCUAACCAGAAAGCCACGGCUAACUACGUGCCAGCAGCCGCGGUAAUACGUAGGUGGCAAGCGUUGUCCGGAUUUAUUGGGCGUAAAGCGAGCGCAGGCGGUUUCUUAAGUCUGAUGUGAAAGCCCCCGGCUCAACCGGGGAGGGUCAUUGGAAACUGGGAGACUUGAGUGCAGAAGAGGAGAGUGGAAUUCCAUGUGUAGCGGUGAAAUGCGUAGAUAUAUGGAGGAACACCAGUGGCGAAGGCGGCUCUCUGGUCUGUAACAGACGCUGAGGCUCGAAAGCGUGGGGAGCAAACAGG
rnacentral:rRNA from 2 species